GACAGAGGGUGCAAACGUUGUUCGGAAUUACUGGGCGUAAAGCGCGUGUAGGCGGCCCUGCAAGUCGGAUGUGAAAUCCCACGGCUCAACCGUGGAAGUGCAUUCGAAACUGCAGGGCUAGAGUCCUGGAGAGGAAGGUGGAAUGCUUGGUGUAGAGGUGAAAUUCGUAGAUAUUCGCAAGAACACCAGUGGCGAAGGCGGCUCACUGGCCCGGUACUGACGCUGAGGUGCGAAAGCGUGGGGAGCAAACAGG
rnacentral:rRNA from 1 species